GAUGAACGCUGGCGGCGUGCCUAAUACAUGCAAGUCGAGCGAACAGACGAGGAGCUUGCUCCUCUGACGUUAGCGGCGGACGGGUGAGUAACACGUGGAUAACCUACCUAUAAGACUGGGAUAACUUCGGGAAACCGGAGCUAAUACCGGAUAAUAUAUUGAACCGCAUGGUUCAAUAGUGAAAGACGGUUUUGCUGUCACUUAUAGAUGGAUCCGCGCCGGAUUAGCUAGCUGGUAAGGUAACGGCUUACCAAGGCAACGAUGCGUAGCCGACCUGAGAGGGUGAUCGGCCACACUGGAACUGAGACACGGUCCAGACUCCUACGGGAGGCAGCAGUAGGGAAUCUUCCGCAAUGGGCGAAAGCUUGACGGAGCAACGCCGCGUGAGUGAUGAAGGUCUUCGGAUCGUAAAACUCUGUUAUUAGGGAAGAACAAAUGUGUAAGUAACUAUGCACGUCUUGACGGUACCUAAUCAGAAAGCCACGGCUAACUACGUG
rnacentral:rRNA from 1 species